rnacentral:tRNA from 1 species
GGUAGGAUGGCUGAGGGUUUAAGCGGUGGAUUGUAGCUCCAUACACAGAGGUUUGAGUCCUCUUCUUACCA